rnacentral:rRNA from 1 species
AUUGAACGCUGGCGGCAGGCCUAACACAUGCAAGUCGAACGAGUGGCGGACGGGUGAGUAAUGUCUGGGCAACUGCCCGAUGGAGGGGGAUAACUACUGGAAACGGUAGCUAAUACCGCAUACCAUCGGAUGUGCCCUGGUGGGAUGAGCUAGUCGGUGGGGUAACGGCUCACCUAGGCGACGAUCCCUAGCUGGGCUGAGAGGAUGACCAGCCACACUGGAACUGAGACACGGUCCAGACUCCUACGGGAGGCAGCAGUGGGGAAUAUUGCACAAUGGGCGAAAGCCUGAUGCAGCCAGGCCGCGUGGAUGAAGAAGGCCUUCGGGUUGUAAAGUACUUUCAGCGAGGAGGCGGUACUCGAAGAAGAAGCAACGGCUAACUCCGUGCCAGCCGCCGCGGUAAUUC